GAUGAAGAACGCAGCGAAAUGCGAUACUUGGUGUGAAUUGCAGAAUCCCGUGAACCAUCGAGUCUUUGAACGCAAGUUGCGCCCGAAGCCAUUAGGCCGAGGGCACGCCUGCCUGGGCGUCACACGUCGUUGCCCCCCCAUCUACUCCUUCGGGAUUGCGGGGGGCGGAUGAUGGCCUCCCGUGCGCCUCGCCGCGCGGUUGGCAUAAAUGCCAAGUCCUCGGCGACGCACGCCACGACAAUCGGUGGUUGCGAAACCUCGGUUGCCCGUCGUGUGCGGUCGUCGCGCAUCGAGGGCUCGAAAAAAUUGCCGGGUUCCGGCUCGGCUUUCAACGCGACCCCAGGUCAGGCGGGGUUACCCGCUGAUUUUAAGCAUAUCAAUAAGCGGAGGA
rnacentral:misc_RNA from 1 species